ACAAUAUUAGGACCAUCGUUCUAUCGAGUAAAAUAACCCGCUCAAUGAAAGAUCUUCCCUUUAUCUU
rnacentral:pre_miRNA from 1 species